AGAAUCAUUUUGGAACAACCUCGGCUGCAUGAAAAAAGGGCACUUCCAGCUCCAACGCCCGGCUUGUUGGGAAAAAUGGGGCGGAAGGAAGAAGGCCUUCGCUUUUUCGUUUGUUGCCCGUAAUUCGUUUUUUUCUCUCGCGAGUUGUUCAGAUCGAGGGGGAGGAAGAAAAGGGAGACCGAGGAGGAGUUAGGAAAGAUCGGCCAUGGCAUCGUCGAAGGAUCGAGAGAGCUCUGCCUGCAUCGCUGAGCCCGCCGAGCAGGCCGAGCGCGAUGACGUUGUCUUAUCAGAGGAGGUUAUAGUUUCCUCUUUGUCCAACUGUGAUGGAAAGGUAAUGCGAAUGGAAUGAACCGCUUGGAGGCGUGAUUGGGUGGGGAGCUAAAAGGUUUCAAGUGGUACAUUCAUCACCUAGUAGCAGUGAAGAAUCUAAAUCUCAAUCAGUGGAAACUUCUAAUAAUAAAGAGAACAGUUGCUUGAAUGAAGAACCUGAUAGAAAUUUUUGGGUCAGCGAUAUGAAGGAUUCACUUGAAAGUAAUGUUGUUGUCAGUGAUAAGGAAGAUGAACAUGAUAGUAUUUUCUCCAAGUGUAAAAAUGAUAUAGGUACAGAUGUUGGAGAUGCCAUUGACUCUUAUAUUCCUGCAGAAGGAAUGCACUUUAAUAAUGAGGAGGAUGCAUAUAAUUUUUACAAUGAAUAUGCAUUAAAACAUGGCUUUAGUGUUAGAAGGUCUGCUUGGGAGAAAAAUGCACGGGGUGUUGUUGUGAGAAAGUCAUUUGUUUGUUCUAAGGAAGGUUGGAAGAAACCAAGUGGAAAUCCAGCAUUCCGUAAGUUAGAUACAAGAUGUGGUUGUCCAGCAAAAAUGAUAGUAAAAAGACUUCCAGAUGGAAAAUUUGUUGUGCAUACUUUCAUAGGUGGUCAUAACCAUCCUUUGGCACCUUCAUCUAUGUCUCAUUUGUUAAGGUCACAUCGUAAAAUGACAUCUCCAUGUUCUGCAAUAGGUGAAUUAGUUGAUAAUGCUCACAUCGCACCAAGGAAGACAUAUGAUCACUCUACAAAAGCAAAUGGUGAUUGUGAGGAUGUGUUAUUUUCCAUCGAUUAUAGAGAUCAAUUGUGGAAAAAGAGGAAGAAGACUAUGAAAAAUAGUGGAAUGUGUGCCUUGGCUGAUUAUUUGCAAAAGAAAUCAAGCAAUGACCCUGGUUUUUAUAGUGCAAUGCAAUUAGAUGAAGAUGGAUAUGCUAUAAAUGUGUUUUGGGCAGAUGCAAGGUCAAGAGUGGAUUAUGAAUGCUUCAAUGAUGUGCUUGUUUUUGACACAACUGUGAAAAUUAAUAGUUAUCAGUGCCCAUUUGUGCAGUUUGUAGGAGUAAAUCAUCACUCACAAACCUGCAUUUUUGGCGGUGCAUUUUUGUAUGAUGAGACUAUAGAAACCUUUGAGUGGUUGUUUAGAGUCUUUACAGAAGCAAUGAACGGUAAGCAUCCUCAAGUUGUACUAACAGAUGAUGAUAAUGCACUAGCAAUUGCAGUGUCUCAUAUAUGGCCAAAUGCACAUCACCGCUUUUGUUUGUGGCAUAUUUUUCAAAAUGCAGAAAAGAACAUAGGUGACAUACUUAAUCAGAAGACCGGCUUCAAGGAAAGUUUUAUAAAGUGCAUACUUCAGUGUGAAGAUGAUAAUACUUUUCAAUUUACGUGGGAACAAAUGAUUCAUUUGUACAACCUUGAAGAAAAUAGAUGGUUGCAAAAGUUGUAUAAAGAUAAAGAAAAGUGGGCAUUGGCCUAUGGAAGACAAUAUUUUUGUGCAGAUAUGAUAAACGCACAAAGAGCUAAAAGUAUGCAUGCUACAUUGAGAAACUGUCUUUAUUCUUGUUUGACAAUCUCUCGUUUCAUGGAACAAUAUGAAUUAUUUUUAAACAGCCUUAGACAGAGUGAACUUGAAGAAGAUGUAAAAAGCUUCAGUACAUGCCCUAUAACCUUGGGCAUGAAAAUAUUGAUGCGAGCUGCAGAUCUGUACACUCCAACUGUAUUUGAAUGGUUUAAGAAAGAGGUUAUUCAAGUCAUGAACUGCAAUAUAGUAGUAGAUAUGCAAAAAACAAAUAUGCACAGGUACCAUGUGACAUGGGAGGGAGAAGAACCUUCUAAAAGGCAGGAGGCAUAUGUUACUUAUAAUGUUGAAAAUGGAACAGUCGAAUGUACGUGCAAAAACUAUGAAUUUAAAGGUAUUUUAUGUCGUCAUGCAUUAAAAGCACUUGAUCGAGAGAACAUUAAAGAAAUACCUAAGUCAUAUAUUAUGCGAAGAUGGACCAAACGUGCAAAGAUAGAAACAUUGAAUACAAGUUGUACAAGUGUUUCAGGUGUGGAUGAUACGUGUUGCAUAACCUCCCGUUACCAACUUUUGUGCAGAUUACUUUUUCAUGUUGCAGAUUUGGCCUCAAAAAAUAGAGAAGCCUAUGAAUACAUGAACAAAUUAAUAAAUGAUGCACUAGAAAAGGUCUCUUUGCUUCUCCAUCAAUCUAUGGAUGUCAGUUUGAAGGAAUAAGUAAAGGGCCACAAUGAAGGUUCUAUGACCCCUAGGGGUAGAUAUCAUCUUCAAAGUCAAUGUGCAUGUAGCCAAGGGCAUUGAAAAGAAGCCAGAAUUUGAUCUUAGACACUGCAGAACGAAGAGUUCUAGAGAUUGUUGGUAAGAAAAGAAACAAGAAUAAUGCAAAUCACAAGAAGCAACUAAGCCAUCUGCAGGACAACUAUAGUCAUUUGUGCAAAAUGGGUUGAAACCUAUGCCUUAUCCAAGUCAUAGCAUCAGUUGCAUGAUGGCAGCAGACUUGUUGAUAUCCUGGUCUGAGGUGUUGUUCCUUACUGCUGGCAGGGCUUUUGAACCACCCCUCUUUUGAGAAUGGUCUGACUGUGAAGGUGGAAAGUUGUUUGUAUUUUGAAAGAUCUGCACAUGCAGCAUUUAGCGCUGGAUUUUAAUUGCAAAUGUGCCUUACAACCUUAUCGUCAUGUAUAUCAUGUUGCAGAUCUGACUUGGAAAUGUUCAGAUGUCUUUCGGAUGUGGCAAUCCAAAUGGCUGUCUGACUGGAAUUCUGGAGGAUCCCCUACAUUACCAAACUAGGAUAUAUCAUGUUUUGGAUGUCGCAUAGAUUUGCCAUAUCUUGUUCUUGCUUCCAUAUUGAGGGAAGUGCAAUGCCGUUCUAGGCAAGUCUAUGCGACAUUCUACAAGCCCAAGUUGCUGAAAGGUUAGAGCAGCUUGAUUUUUCAUCUAAUGGUUGCGUUGGAACUUCCUUUCUUGCUUGUUAAAGUUCAAUCUAUUGCCAAGCAUAACAAACAUGGUUCCCUUCUGCGCCUUGGCUUUCCAAGAGUUGGAGUUUAAGAUCUUGAAUAGUCGUGUCUCGUCGUUACCACAGGGUGUCUGAUAUCGUGAAUGUGGACAGAGGAAAUGAUACGUGAAUUGCAAUGGGUUGGAUCGAAGAAAAUGGAGGUGGGCAUUCAUCCGACAUCUUGGCUUUUUCUUUUCUUCCCUUGUAAUCCUUCACGUACCCUCCUUUUCAGUCCCUCUUGACGACAAGAAGAUGCA